AGAUAGCAAAAACUAGAAAAAGAAACAAAAGUUGGAAGAAUUAAAAAGGCCGAAUUUCACGUCAAUAUCUCAUUUUCAUUUUUUUUCGAUGAUUUUUUGGAUUAUGCU
rnacentral:ribozyme from 1 species